rnacentral:lncRNA from 1 species
CUUCAGGGGCGGGGUUCCCGAAGCCCUACCCCUCUUUCUGUCUCUCUCUUCAUUUUUAAAGGGCACCCCACCCCGUAAACCCCACCAUCUGAAAUUUGCAGAGGACAACCCCUCCCUUUCUCGCUCUAAAACAAGAUAGAAGCUUCUCUUCCUUCUCUCUCAACGCUUUUAUGGCGAAACAAGAAGAACCCAUCUCUUGUGACCCACCAAAAGGCCUGCAAAUUCAGGUACUAAGCUUGGUCGCCGUGCCUCACUACCCACAUUGGUCUGGAAAUCCAUGGCUCCUUCUCUGUUUUCUCUCUCUGUAAACCACUUUUGGGGUAGAGAGAGAGAGCAUGCAAUGAAGUUUUGUACAGUGGUAUAGUGUAGAAGGCAAACAGGAUGGAGCCAGGCAGUAGUAGAUUUUUAUAUACAUAAGAAAAAGAAAUAGCAGAGAAAGGAGGGGGGCAUUUUGAAUGGGAGAUAUGUUUAUAAAUGUGAUUUUUAAAUGGGUUUUUGGUGGAAUCUAUGGGAGAAUGCUCGUUGAGGUCUUUGGAGAUGUUUUUGAUGGGGGGUAUGUAACUCUUUUCGGCCAUGGCUAUGGCGAUGUUUAUGCAUGAAAAAUGUACCCUUUUUACAUUAAUUGAGAUGGUUAUUUAUAAGUUUUUUUUUUCCUUCUGUUUUUUGGAUAACUUCAUGGUGCUUUUUUCGCCAUUAUUGUAAGCCUGGGCCUUGUUCUCUUCCUUAUUUUCUUUUUCUGUUUUGUUGGUUUGUGUGGUUGAUGAGUAAAAGUGAUCCUUUUUUGUUGGUUUUCAUGGUAGUUGAGUAACAGGUUUAUACUUGGUGUUGCAUGGGCGUUUCAUCAUUGAAAUCUUUUGCAGGUUGUUAUUUUUUAUGUGAAAAUGGAUAUUUUUCUCCAUACAUUUCAAUGUAAGACUUUCAAGUUGGUAGUUUGUAUUGGGAUGUGUGGCCUUAAUUUGAUUUCAUCCUUUUGUAGGGUCUGGUUUGGAACUUAGAUUCCCUUUUUCUUUCCUUCUUUUAUUACUUUUUUUUUUGCAUUCUACCCAUUUGAGUAUUAAUCCCUAGGAGGAUUUUACCAAAUUUGGUUUCUUAAUUUUUUUUUUUUCAAGUCCAAAGAAAAAGGUAGAGGUAUUUUUCCCCUUUUUUAGCUUACAGAUUUGUUGACAUUGGGUUGUCCCCUGCACCAGAAGUGGCUUUCUUUGCUAUGAAGAUUGCUGUAUGCAUUUCGGAGCUUAAAUUAGCUGCUUAAUGUAAUGAGUGAGAACAUCAUAGAGUCAGAUACCUUUACUGAAAUUCAUAUUCUGGGCCUUUAUUGAUUUUGGUGAAGAGUGUUUGCAUAUAAGAGUGCUGCUUUAAUAUCAUUUUACUUGAAUAUUUCAGGCUGCUUAGAUUUCUUGUCUAGACAUGAAGUAUGUUGCUCCUGAUUCUUAUAUUUCAUUGAGCUUCUGCUGAUGAAUUAGGGUUUUAUUUUUCUUGAAAUGGUGUUUGGUAUUAAUUUUACAUUGAUUUAACGAAAAGCCAUCUUAAUCAUUUUAUUGAUCCAGGCAUCUCCACUGCUUCUUGUGUACUGCUCUUCCUCCUGAUCCUGUAACUUGGAUCUUGAACUUUCAGUCUUUAUGCAUUUAGAUUUGUUUGUGAAGCAUUCAAGGAUCACAUUAUUAUUAUUCAUUUAGAGUUGUUUGUGUAGCAUUCAAUCAUGACAUUAUUAUUGUUUGGGCGGAUGGGAACUUGAAAGAACCAUCUUUCGAUGCAUAUUAGGUUCCUUUUCCUUUUGCUAGAUAUUAGUUUGAAAAUAUAUCUUUGUGAUAUGUUGGGCAAGAAGAUUUAAGCACAAAAUGUUAUGGAGCUGAUUAUGGAUAUCAACCAAAAAAUAAUUUAUGCAUUAUUAAUUGACCAUGGGCUAUAUGACCACGGCCGCAAAUAUAGUUCCUUAAAAAUCAGUCUAUAUUUAUAGAUUUAAUAUCCACUGGUGCAGAUUGUAUUUUUUUAAAGGACCGGAACCUUGUCUUCCUGGAUGCCUAAGCCAAUAAUGCAACUUUACUCUUCCUCUCUUAACAAUUUGCUAGUAUUUCUUUUUUAAAUUUUUCCUGAUGGUGAGAUUUGAGCCUGGGAUGUAGCCUUGCAACUUUCAACACCAGAUCCGGCAUUCCUAUGCCUGAAUAUCCGAAUGAUUCUAUGUCAUUAGUAAUUCUUUCAAAGUUAUUUUUGAGGAAAGUAUGUGGUCCUUGAGCUUAUUGUGUUCUAGUAAUGAAUAUCCCUGUGAGCUUAGGUUUCUUCCUUGUGAUUAUGUGCCAUCUUUGCACUUUGUUUCCUUGACUUUCUUGCCUUAUCUAGUGGGUAUCUAGAUUGCAUUAUGGAGUUUUUCCUGUGCAUUUCUGUUGCUGGUGAGCAUGGAAUUCGAAUUUGCAACACUACGGUUGACACUCAGAGUAUCUAUUCAUUUGAAAUUUCUUUCCCUGUCCAAUACAUAAUAAAUAUGGCUCAAACUGCCCUUUGUGUCCUAUAAAUGCAAUCUUUCUAAUUCCCCUUUUUUGCAAAACCUCAUUCACAAUGCUAGAUAUAAAUGAUGCACUAUAGGACAUCAUCAUUACAUUUCAAUCGGCAUGGUAUUCCGUGCUUCUUCAAUGGUAUACAUAUAUAUAUUUUUUUGAUCGAUGGUUUGUAUAUUUUAGCCCUCUGAGACUGUUGCAUUGCUGUUCCCCAUCCAAUAUUUGGUGUUUGAGCAUUUAAUGAUGCACUAUAGGACAUCAUCAUUACAUUUCAAUCGACAUGGUAUUCCGUUCUUCUUCAAGGGUAUAAUUUUAUUUUAUUUUUUGAUUGGUGGUUUGUAUAUUUUAACCAUCUAAGACUGUUGCAUUACUGUUCCCCAUCCAAUAUUUGGUGUUUGAGCAUUUUCAACAUUUGAAUGGAAUCUUUUACAAGUGUGUACAUCUAUAAUAGUUAUCCAAAUUGCCACCUUGUAGCAACUCAUUCAGCCAUUUUUGUAAGUUGGAUGAUUUACCAAAAGUCAGUUAAUAUUAGUUGUUAUUUACUUAAUUUAACAAAUGAAAAAAAUUGGAACAUGUAGAAAUUUUGAAAAAAAUUCAUAGAUUUUUCAUAGUUGUAGAAAAAUAUUUAAAACUAAGUCAUAAAGAAAAUUAGUUAUAUAUAGUUAUGCCUAUAAGAACUAUAAAAAAAAUGCUAUAAAUAGUUUGUGUGCAGUUGGUCUUUUGAAAAGAAUAGCUUUUUGUUGAUAAUUUCAAAAAGAAAUAAACAUGCACAGAAAAACAAUGAAUUCUUUUCAAUAUUUAAAACUAAGUCAUAAAGAAAAUUAGCUAUAUAUAGUUAUGCCUCUAAGAAAUAUAAAAAAAAAUUGCUAUAAAUAGUUUGUAUGCUGAUGGUCUUUCAAAAAGAAUAGCUUUUUGUUGUUAAUUUCAAAAAAGAAAUAAACAUGCACAGAAAGACAAUGAAUUCUUUUCUUCAUCUUAUACUGUUCAAGCCUACAGCCAGGUAAACAUAUUGCACUUGAUAGCGACUUGUUCAACCACUGAAUCAAGUUUGCUUGUCCAUUUAACAAGUAUCAAUCCAUACGAGUCUCAUGUGUUUCACUUCAGUUUGAUUAGCUAAGCGUUUUUAAAAGAAGUAUCAAAGAAAACCUUGAAAUUUAAAAAGGAAAAAUAAAAAUACAGAAAACCAGUCUUAUUUUUUUUUUGGAAAAGGGAGAGUACAGUUGCAAUUCUUAGAGAAGUCAAUGAGGAGGUGGAGAUGUGGGGUAUCGGCCCUGUACCUCUCGCAUGCUAAGCAAGUGCUCUACCUUCUGAGCUACAUCCCCUUCUGAAAACCAGUCCCUUUAUAAAAUAUUUUAGUUAUAGAGAGGUCAUGUCAGAAGCAACUUAAAGAUCAACAUCUAUGUAUAGAAAAAGAACUGAUCAUUUUGGUUUGUAUUUUGGUGUUUAAUAUAAAGAUCUACUGAUUUUAAUGAAGCGAUUAGAUCCGAUGGAUACAAUUUAGUUUUCAAAUGCAUUCUUGAAAACCAGCAGAAUCAGGGUAUGGAUUUCAAGGUUCUUCAUUUUAGUUCAAUAUUUUGUCGUUUUAAGGUUAUGGGACAAGCAUACAUGGCUGGAGUCUACUGUUUGCUUGGAUUAUUAAUUUAGGAGUGGGGUUGCUUGAUCCUAUUCAGAGAAUCGCAUCAUAAAAUUGAUUUGUAAAGAAACUCAAAAUCAUCAUUUUUUAGUUUACUUCCAAAAGGACUUGCCUUCUGACUAGUGCAUAAAUUGAAAGUGAACCGGGAUCUGCAUGAGCUAUUGGCUUGAAAUUUGUGAAUAGAUGUGAAUGAAAGAUUUACAUAGUGAUUUAUUGUUGAAUUACCUUAAAAACAGGAUAAUCCAUGAAGGAAAAGGAUGUUAGUUGGACUUAAUUUACUUGAAAAGUACCCGGAUGCCUGAUGUGCGUGCAUUGGCUUCUUUGCUUGAUAUAGGAUAUUCUUCUUUAAUUUGUUUUGCAUAGAAUGGUUUGUUGGUAUUAGAAUGACUACAGAGCUUUGUUUCGGGUGGAUCUUCUUGAUACGGAUUGUUCAUGAUAGUUUAAUAUGAGCCCAGGAAUAAAAUGUCCUAUGGAGACAAGGUUUACUUUGUAAUAUGUUAAGGUUCAUCAGUUUCAAAAUGAUUUGAGGUAUUCAAGACUUCUAUUAUACUAUGAGGAAGAAGAAACAACUUCAAACCUUAUUAGGUCUACGUUGCAUAUGGCCAACCCACCUAAUCUACUUUCCUUCAUUUUCUCAUCUAUUGGAGCCACAUCUAAGUUCCCUCAUUUAUACUCAUUUUGAAUCUAUCCUUUCUUAUUGUGCCACUCAUCCAUUUCGACAUCCUCAUAUCAACUAGACUCAUCUUUUGGAUAUGUUGUUUCUUGACCGCUCAACAUACAUCCAUGAAGCAUGGCUAGUCUUACAGCCAUCGUAUAAAACUUUCCCUUUAGUUUCAUUUUUAUGCGGCAAUCACAUAAAACUCUGGAUGCACAUCUCCACUUUGCCCAGCCAGCUCUAAUCCUAUGUGCGACAUCAUCCUCAAUCUCUCCAUUCUCCUAGAUUAUCGACUCAAGAUAUAAAAAAUAAUCUCUUUUAGGUAUUUAUUGGUCAUCAAUCGUAACUACUUCCUCGUUAAUAUUCGUAUUAUUACCAAGAUUGCAUUCCAUAUAUUCUGACUUAAUCCUAUUAAGUUUUAGAUUCUAAAGCUUCCCUCUAAAGGUCUAACUUUACAUUGACACCUUGAUAUCAUCAAUUAAAACUUCUUCAUCCACGAACAACAUGCACGACAAUACUUUUUGUCCAUUCAUUUGGUAUUUUGUUUGUUCUCACCAUCUUGUUGAACUGUUUGGUCAUCCAGAUGAUGCUAGUUUCUGCCAUACACUUCCAAACCUCUAUUGGGAUACCAUAUAGUCCUAAAGCCUUUACUUCCCUCAUUCGUCUUAAAGCUUCUUUCACUUUAGAUCUCCUAAUCCUACAAAUGUAUUAAUGACCUACGACUUCAUUUAAGUCGAAGGUUUCUUUAAACGGUGUGCUCCCAAAGUAUUCAUCAUUUAAGAAUUUUUGAAAAUAUACUUGCCACUUUUUGUUGACCUCGUCAUUUUUGACCAACACCCUCUGAACCUCACUUUUAAUGCAUUUGAUAUGAUCUAGAUCCUUAUACUUUCCUCUCUUUCAUUUUUGCUAGUUUGAAGACUGCUUUUUCACCUUCGCUUGUCCCCAGUUUAUUUAUAGGUUAUCAUAUGCCUUAAGUUUAGCCCUACUUACUAUUAUCUUAGUGGUUUUUUUAGUAUUUUUAUAUUCUUUUAAGUUUUGAUCAUUUCUAUCACAUUGUUAAGCUUUAUAACAUGAUCUUUUUCGCCAAUAGCCUUUUGAACCUCAUUACUCCACCACCAAGUUUCUUUAUUAUAAUUUCUUUUCCCUCUGGAUUCUUAUAAAACGUCAUUUGUCACUUUUUUAAUACAAUUAGCUAUCUCAUUUGUCAUUCCACAUAACAUUACCUUCGUUCUCAGAAUUCCAUUUUUACUCUUUUACCAAUUUACUAAAUAAUUUUAUUUUCGCCCUUUUUAAAUUCUACCGCUAUUUCUUGGACACUUAUUGAUUUCACUUUUCUUGUAUCUCUUUAUGCAAGUAUCCAUCAGCAUGAGCCAAAACUUACAACCUUUACAUGAUGAUCGAUCUGCCUUCUUAACUAGAAAGAAGUUUAUUUGGCUUUUAUAUGAUCUACUUUUAUAAGUUAUUAAUUGUUCAUCUCGCUUUUUAGAGUACGUGUUUGCUAUUGCUAGCUCGUAAGCCAUAACAAAAUCUAAAAUAGCAUCACUCAUCUCAUUUCUUUCCCCCAAACCAUACCUUCCAUGUACCCUAUCAUAUCAUCUACUAUCUUUUGUUUUAUGACUAUUUUAGUCCCAUCUUAAAAAAACCCUCUCUUCAUUUAGUAUUCCUUAGACUAGUCCAUCCAUGUCCUCCCAUAAUCAUUUCUUAAUUCUCUUCGUUAGGCCUACCUGUGGCGCAUAAGCAUUAAUUACAUUAGUUAUCUCCUCCUCUAACAUAAGGUUAAUUAAUAGGAGCCUAAUACUUACUCUCUUAAUAUCCAGUCCUUUAUCCUUUACAUCUUUAUCUACUAUUAUGCCUAUGUCAUAUCUAUUAUUGUCCUUUUGCAAUAUACCAAUGAUUAUAUCCAUCGAAUUCUUUAGCUUUAUCUCCUUUCCCUUAGUUUCUUGUAGGCAUGCCAUGUUACCUCUCCUUUCUCUCAUUUUAUCCACUAACUCCAUACUCUUACCUAUUAUAUUUCCUACAUUCCAUCGCUAGAAUAGAUUCUAUUCUCUUGGUUUGGCCUAUCGUCCAAAAUGGUAGGGAACCCCUGCAGUGUUUAAAAAAGUAAACCACUCAGCGCUUAGGCGGUCUGGAAGGCCUGGGCGCAUCGCUUAGGCGGCCAAACUGGGCAGCCGACCUUGGGCGGCCGCCCAGGGCCUGCGUCCCACCCAAGGGCAAAAUUUUUUUUUUUUAAGUUGUAUUGAUUUUUUUUGAAAUAUAAAGGGUUUGAAGGAUGGGUUUUAGGUUCAUUUCAAACCUAAACCCACAAGAACCCAUUUUAGAGAGAAAGAAACCUCAAGAAAACUAAUUUUUGUGACUUUCAUUGCAUCAAAGUGUUUCUCAAAGUUACGAAAAACGGAUCCAAACAUCACCCAGGUAGAUUUGAUUUAGUUUUGGAGAUUUAUAAUCUUAUUAGAGGGUGUUUUUUAUUAUUUUAGCACUAGAAAACAUUUUCGAGAUGGGAGUUUGGAGUUCAAGCAAUCAAAGUAAGUGCAAAAAUUUAUUUUUUAGAUUGUUUGUUUUAUUUUGAGAUGUCUUCUUCAGGAUCUAGUCGAAGUGGAGAUCCGUGUUGGAAAUAUGGAUAUAACCCGAAUCCAAAUGACAAAAACUGGUUUAAGAAGCAUAUUGCUGGUAUUAAGGGGGAUGUUGCCCAUUGUAAAAAUAUUCUUGAAGCUAUCAGAGAGGAGAUUGAGUAAUCUAUGAGUUUUGUAAAACAAAAAUUGGAACAAAAUCCUUGUCAUUUGAAUAGAUCUAUUUCUGCUACUUUUAAAAGAAGUGAUUCGGGUUGGAAGUAUCGUUAUAACCCAAAACCAAACGAUAAAAAUUGUAUAAGGUGUAAUUUUUGUGAAAAAGAUACCAAUGGGGGUAUUAACCGAUUCAAGAAACUCCUUGCUGGUAUUAAAAGGAAUGUUGCUUCUUGUAAAAAGGUUCUUGAAGCUGUUCGAGAUGAGAUUAGACACUUCUAAAUUUAAAAAAACAAGAAAAUGAUGAAAAUGAGCCUUGUUCUACAAAAAUAUCUUUUCCAGGUUCUUCUAGAAGUGGUGAUCCGAGUUGGAAGUAUGGUUGUAACCCGAAUUCGAAUGACAAAAAUCGUAUUAAAUGUAAUUAUUGUGGAAAUGAUACUAAUGAGGGCAUUUACCGGUUUAAAAAACACCUUGCCGGUAUUAAGGGAGAUAUAGCCCCGUGUAAAAAUUUUCUUGAGUCUAUCAAGGAGGAAAUUAUACAAUAUUUGAGUACAGGGAAGCACAAAAAGAUAAAAAAAGGUAGAGCAGCCAAGACUCCUAAGGCCUCAUCUACCCAUUACUAGUAAGAGGGAGGUAGAAGAAGAGGAGGAAGAGGCAGAUUCAGAAGAAAUAGAGGAGGACGAACGUUAUAUUGAAGAGAGAGAUGACUUUGAUGAUGAUGGUUUUGAUUCUGAUGCAUAUGAUGAAGCUGAUCCUAUUCCUUCUGAUAAUGAUGACUGAAGACUCUUGGUGUUGAGUGUUGACUGUUGUGUUGAGUGUUGACUAUUGUGUCUGUAUAUUUUUUUAAUUUCUAUAUAUUUUCUAUUUCUUAUUUUUAGUUUCUAGUUCUACUAUCUAACUUAUACGUGUAGAGUCUACAGUGUAUCAAACUAUCAGUGUAGUGUAUGCUUGUAUGGUUUUACUGUUUUAGCAUUGUAUGAAAAAUAUGGAUUAUGGUUUUAUGGAUUAUCAAACUACUGGGAUUAUGGUCUUAGUUUUUUUUUUUUUCAAUUGGGCCGCCCAGGUUUUGGGCACCCACCUAGGCGCUGGGCGGCCUGGCCCUCCAUGGCCGCCUACCGCCUAGCGCUUUUUGAAACACUGAACCCCUGCAUACUUAUCAUUGCAAUCGGUUGUCAUUGCUUGCUGCUCAUCAUUUCUAGGGAAAGCCGUAGCUAACCCAUUCUCAUUUCUCACUGCAUCUGGGUUUUGAUGCAGCACAUCGCUUACAGGGGGAACUCUAGCAUGAGCUUAUAACAUAGGUUCAGGAGUCAUGAAAAGAUGUGGCAAAAUUUUAUGCUGGCCUACCUAACACAACCCUUCUACUUUGUCCAGACUUGGGACUGGCAUGACCUGGUCGGGACUAUCCAUGAGUUUAUUUUGGAUUGCUUAUCAAUAAAAAUUGACAAGAAAUAGAGACUACAAAAAUGUGGGUUUUAUUUUUACUUGUUGAUUUGAUGCAGAGGAGUCUCAUGCACCAUUGGGUAAUUUAGAUCCUGAGAUUUCAAGGGUGAUUCCUUAAUGCUACUUGUUGACUUAGAAGGGCCUCUUCCACUCUUUUUUUGAAGGGCACCACAGAUUAUUGAUUGUCCUAAAAGAGGUAAACGAGGUGGCUGGAAACUUAGCAAACUUGGGCAUGAGCAGGCCUGGGUUGAGGUUAUGGGCCUUAAACCCACCCUUCUUUUUCCUAUUACUACUUUCAAUUCUUCAUAUCUGUUUUUCUUUGGAUACAUAAACCAAGAAUACCCGCCCAUGAGUGCAUGCAUGUAAGACGUUGAGGAAUGAUGUAGCAUUUAUUAUCCACAAGUAUCACAAAGAGAAUACACAUACAUACACUUAUACACACACACGCACAUAUAGUGAAAUAUGGUUCUAUAAGCUGAUUGGCCAUACACACACAGAGGAAAAGGAUUUGACCUACCCUAGGGGGCUCAGCUGUAGUAACUGCCCUAGUUAGAAAACCAUUGUUAGUAGGGUCCUUUGGAACCCAAAUUUUGUGGAUGUUCCCUGCUCAUCAUUGCAUCCAAGCCCAAAAAUAAAAUUUUGAAUUUUUACCUGAAAGGCCCAAAAGAAUUGUAACCCAACCCUAAACAUGUGCCGUCGAUUUCAUGAACAGUUGGAUUUGGGUUGUAAAGGACUCAAAAUCAGUUUUUCCUUUCUCUUUUGAAUUGUUCAUCUGGUGGUGAUGAGUCAAUCUACAAAAUUUGGGGUCAAAUAGAUGCAUCUAGGGCCUCGAUCUAAGAUCAUUUUUUCCUUUCCUGAAAAUGGACAGGCCAUAUUCACUGCAUUUUCUCUCCUCAAAAAAAAGAAAAAUCGUUUUCUACGGUAUUUUUUCAAGUUUUAUUCACGAUCUUGUUUGAUGGAUCCAAGAGAGUGUGUGUACAAAAUUUGGGCUCUAGCAAAUGUCUCUAAGACCCUUAAAAAUGAUGUAGGGCAGACACAACGGCAGUUUGCCCAGGGGCAGAUCAAAUCUACACACACCCCCCCCCUUCCCCCCUCACACACACACAGACACACAUGUCGAGAUGAAAGCUUCCCUACCACAUAUAUAUUUGAGCCGCAUUCAUUUAUCUGUUUGCUUUUUAUUAUUCCCUCAUGGUAUGGUAUGUACAUACACCCUAUUAUCAGCCUUCUCUGUAAUGAUAGUAACCUUGGCACAUGGGUGUUGUUUCCUCUCCUAAAAGAAGUUUUGCCUUUUGAUUCUAUAUUUGUCUCUGACCUUCUUUCUCCCACUCACAUGUCGUCUAUUCAAAUCACGUGUAUCAUUUUCUAUUGAGUCUCAUUUUCAUGGAGCAUGUGUAUACUGGUCUACUUUUUAUUUACUUGUGCUUAAAUAAUUUUCAUGAUAAGAUUAUUCAUAAUUCCUUUAUUACUUCAUGUGAAUUGGAAGAGCUAAAAAAGUGACUGAAUGCCAUGGUCCAACUAGUUCAGCCUAAACCAUAUGCACAUUUGAGAUCUAUGCCGCACGAUUUGCCAAUAUAAAUUUGCUUUGUGUCAGUAGAAAAGAUGUGUUGGACUUGCUUGAGUAAUCUUUCCAGGGCCAAGCUGAGGUACUUUGGCAAGUUUCAUGUUAUCUUGUUGGGUUAUCAAACGAAUGUACUUUGUAAUGUGAUUAGACUUUACUGUUUUGCAAAGAACAUUUGGUGAUCCAUAGCAAUCAAUCUCUUUGAAUUAGUUUGUUAUAUAUUGUUUAGUUCCGUAGAAAUUUACAAUGAGUAGUUUCUUCAUUACAACAAAUGGAAGGCACAAUAAAGUACUUGAAAAUCUCAUCAUGUAUUACGUUUACUGUAUUGAUACCAACAUAAAACUUGUGUCUAACAUGAAAAAGUUGUAUCCAUGAUCUUCUUGUCAUGUAGAAGCAAGACCAUGAAUCAUCACACACUAUGGAUGAUUAAAUACAUACAGAGGAAUCCAUCCAAAAUUUAAGAUUUCCAGGUCUAGGUUUUUUUUCUUAAAGUGCCUUAAUAAACAAGCGGAUUCUUUUAGGUGUUUUUUACCAGAGACUGAGAAGUUAAGGGUUCUAACCAGUUAUAAAGGCCUUACUGGCGUUGAACUGUGAAAGUUGUUGAUCUAGUCUAACCAGGUUAGACUGCCAAUCCUGUCUGUUGGAUUGCCUAAUGGAGAAAAAAAGAAAAAAAAAAGAAUGAUAGAGAAAUAUUUGUCGGGUUCAACUAGUCCAUUCAGCAAGUUCUAACAGUUCUGUUGCUUCAGUUUAUGCCAACUCUGACCAUUUCAACACUAUUCUCACGAAUUUCUUCUCUUUUUUCGAUGAGUAACAGAAUUCUGACCAGUUUGACCUGGGAUAGUGUUCUUUUUUUGUUCAAGGAUUUAUCUGACACAUAUAGGUUAGUUCUGGUCCAUGUUAAUGAAGAUUGAACUGCCUUGCCCAUGUUUGCUUUGUGGCACUUAUUUCAACAUACAUAUUUUCUCAGUCCAAUAGAAUUUUCUAUUUAAGGACCUAUGCUGAUAUUUGAAGAUUAGAAGCUCUUCCAAUCACAUGUAAACGCAGAUGAAUAACCAAUGGGUCACCACAUGAGGCCUUCUAUGAAGGAGUUGGUAAGUGUGUGGGAAUUAGAUCAAGAAGCAUGCACGAUUCUAACUCAGCACAUUAAAUUUAUGCUCUAGGAUGAUAUUUUAGGACAAAUUGCCUCAAGCAAUGACGGAUAAUGAUUCUAACUCGGCACAUUAAAUUUAUGCUCUUGGGUGAUAUUCUAGGAUAAAUUGCCUCAAGCAAUGAUGAACACAAUUUCCCAAUUGCUGUUCUGAUGAAUUCAAACAAGCGGUCAAAUUACUUUCCUCGUGAAUGAGUAAUGCACUUCUGACAAAUUAAGGGCAUGUGCAACGCCAAGCCAAAGAAAAUUUACCAAUUGCAAAAGGCACGAAAAAGUUUGUUCUUGUAUUUGUGUAUAUUUUUUUGUUCCAUGAUGUGAUGUCCAUGUUGACUUUUGUUCAUUAUAGAAUUUGGAAAUAGAUUGCAUUGGACUCUAAGGUUCCAACUUUUGGUCUGUGACCCUCAUGUAUUGAAAUUCAAUGACAUGAACUGGACUAUUAUACAUUCUGCUAACGGAUCUAUCAUUAACAACCAUUACAUUUAUGUCAUUAAUUUCCUGUAAAUUCUAUUAGAAUAAUUAUUCGACUAAUGUAUCUGUGGGUAAUUGAUCUCGACAGAGAUUUAGUAAAGGCAGUGUUUCAUGCGGUGCACUCGUGUGCUUUCCCUCCUUUUCGCCUGAUUUUGGACUUGAAACACAUCCUAAAUCUUUGCAAAUCCAUUUCCGCCUGACAUUCUUGAAUUUUGAGCUCCCAAAAUCAUGUAGAUUUGAUGAUUAUUGAAGAGUUGAAAUGAAUGGUCCAAAGAAAAGUGAAUGGGAUGGACUAGUUUUAGGACUUAAAAUUCAUUUUCCUUUUCAGAUUCAUGAUCAGGAAGGUCAUGAUGAUAGAGAUCUGUCAGGUGUUGGGUUGUUAAUCAUCUCCAAGAUGGAUUUUGGAAGGGUGUCAACAUGAGUCUGUGGACGCACCGUAACCUCACUUUUCAGUUAGUAAGUUGAAGCUCUGUUGGCGAGCUUUGUGCAGAAGAUGAACAAUGAUGAAAAAAAUAUGAUAUACUACACCUGAUUAACCAACAGUAAUUGCACUUUCAAUUGCUUUCAAGGUAGAUGAACAGCAUUGGUUAGUUAUUCAGAUGUCUUUGUAAUCCAGUCAUUGAAUCUUGGUGAAGAUAUUAAUAUUGUUGCUUAGGCUGUCUUUAAGUUGCACUUUAUGGGGUGUCCACUCAUGGAUUGUCUUUCUAUACGAUUUUGUAAUGUGUGCUUCUAUUCUUGAGCUGUGAUUUUUGGUGUAGAGAUUUUAUUCUUUUCAACAGAUCGGAAUGUGGAUCUACAUUGUUUUAUGCCAGUGAAAUCUUUGCAGGAUUUUCUUUGCAAGUAUUCUUUAAUUCAUGUUUAGAUUGGUUGAAGCUCUUCUUAUUAUUGGAUUUUCUUUGAAAUAUUGCAUGUUGCUGUAGAGCUACCAUUUUGUUUGAGUGCACGCUCAGCUCAAAAGAAUGUUGUCAAUGUUUUGAGAGUCAAAUUCAUUUUGAGAAAUGUCAGAUUCCUUUUGUCUAUGGGGUAAAAGGCAUACUUAGGAUGUGUUUGUCCCAGCUGAAAUGUAUUACUACUGUUUCAAUAAACUUUCAAGGUAAACAGAAAUUUCAAAUAUUGGAUUCAAUUAUCUAAAAUUUCUUCAGAGAAAAGCUGAAUCAUGAGAACCAUAAAGAGUGGUUGGUGUAUGAAAUUGUAAUUCGUGAGUUGUUAGGUGCUGAAAGGGGAACUGUGUUUGUUGUUGGGAAGAGAAAAUUGAGAAGACCUUGUAAGUGACAGACAUACUAUCAUGAAUGACAGCGAUUGUGAAAUUACGAAUUAGGUAGGAGUUGCCUGAUUAAUUAUCAAAGAUCAAUCAUUGAGCUUGUCCUCGUCUUAGUUCAUUCUACCCAUUGGUGCUCACUUUCCUAUACUUGAGUCAUACUUCUGGUUAUUCUAAGUUAAUUCUCUUUCUCUAAUGCAUAGGUUUCUUUACCUCUUGAAUUAUAGGACAAAAGGAUUCAUGGGUAAACUGAAGUUCCUAAUCUGGUGGUGCAAGUGCUUUCUUGCAUUUGUUGAUGAAUUUUUGAGGUAUAAUUUGUGUUCUGAAAAGAAAGCCUCUGUGUAAUGUAAUGCAAUUGCAAUUGUUUCAAAGAGCAGGCACUCAGCUGAAACUAAGAGGUCAAGGUGUUAUUAGAGGAGUCAAAUGUUUAGUUCAAUGAUGUUUGAGAAAGGGGUUACGGUUUGAUGAGAGGAAUGGAGCAAGAAUUCACCUCGCAGUUCAACAGUGUUUGCAACACCUGGAUCAUUGACCACACAUAAUACCCAAUUUUUCUCCAUUUUGUUUUGGUUUUAUAUAGGCCAC